GACGAACCGAGCGAACGUUAUUCGGAAUCACUGGGCUUAGAGGGCGCGUAGGCGGGCCAUCAAGUCAGGGGUGAAAGCCCCCAGCUCAACUGGGGAAGUGCCUCUGAUACUGACGGCCUCGAGGGAGAUAGGGGCGUGCGGAACUUCCGGUGGAGCGGUGAAAUGCGUAGAUAUCGGAAGGAACACCGGUGGCGAAAGCGGCGCGCUGGAUCUCUUCUGACGCUGAGGCGCGAAAGCCAGGGGAGCGAACGGG
rnacentral:rRNA from 1 species